AGUCGGGUCCUAAGCUGAGGCCGACAGGCGUAGGCGAUGGAUAACAGGUUGAUAUUCCUGUACCACCUAUAAUCGUUUUAAUCGAUGGGGGGACGCAGUAGGAUAGGCGAAGCGUGCGAUUGGAUUGCACGUCUAAGCAGUAAGGCUGAGUAUUAGGCAAAUCCGGUACUCGUUAAGGCUGAGCUGUGAUGGGGAGAAGACAUUGUGUCUUCGAGUCGUUGAUUUCACACUGCCGAGAAAAGCCUCUAGAUAGAAAAUAGGUGCCCGUACCGCAAACCGACACAGGUAGUCAAGAUGAGAAUUCUAAGGUGAGCGAGCGAACUCUCGUUAAGGAACUCGGCAAAAUGACCCCGUAACUUCGGGAGAAGGGGUGCUCUUUAGGGUUAACGCCCAGAAGAGCCGCAGUGAAUAGGCCCAAGCGACUGUUUAUCAAAAACACAGGUCUCUGCUAAACCGUAAGGUGAUGUAUAGGGGCUGACGCCUGCCCGGUGCUGGAAGGUUAAGAGGAGUGGUUAGCUUCUGCGAAGCUACGAAUCGAAGCCCCAGUAAACGGCGGCCGUAACUAUAACGGUCCUAAGGUAGCGAAAUUCCUUGUCGGGUAAGUUCCGACCCGCACGAAAGGCGUAACGAUUUGGGCACUGUCUCAACGAGAGACUCGGUGAAAUCAUAGUACCUGUGAAGAUGCAGGUUACCCGCGACAGGACGGAAAGACCCCGUGGAGCUUUACUGUAGCC
rnacentral:rRNA from 1 species